rnacentral:rRNA from 1 species
AUAACCGUUGGAAACGACGACUAAUAUCCCGUAAUACUAGUGGAGGCAUCUCCAUUAGUUGAAAGCUUCGGUGGUUACGGAUUGGCUCGCGUCUGAUUAGGCAGUUGGCGGGGUAACGGCCCACCAAACCGACGAUCAGUAGGGGUUCGUGAGAGGAAGGUCCCCACCAUUGGAACUGAGACACGGUCCAGACUCCUACGGGAGGCAGCAGUGAGGGAAUAUUGGACAAUGGCCGGAAGGCUGAUCCAGCCAUGCCGCGUGAAGGACGAAGGCCCUAUGGGUCGUAAACAUUCUUUUGUUGUUGGAGGCAAUAAGGGGUUCGCGAAGCCCCGAUGAGAGUACACAGCGAAUAAGCAUCGGCUAACUCCGUGCC